UACGUAGGUGACCAGCGUUGUCCGGAUUUACUGGGCGUAAAGAGCGCGCAGGCGGUCGUUCAAGUCGAGUGUGAAAGCCCCCGGCUCAACUGGGGAGGGUCACUCGAUACUGAUCGACUUGAAGGCAGGAGAGGGAAGCGGAAUUCCCGGUGUAGUGGUGAAAUGCGUAGAUAUCGGGAGGAACACCAGUGGCGAAGGCGGCUAUCUGGGCUGAAACUGACGCUGAGGCGCGAAGGCUAGGGGAGCAAACAGG
rnacentral:rRNA from 1 species